ACAAAACACAAUCAAGUUGAUUAUCCAGUGAAACACAAGGUUUGAAUGAUCCAUUUCCACAUAGUAUUUGACGCAAAACAGUCAACAAUUAUCUAAACUUAAAUAAGCAUCCUUCAAAUACGACCAUAUUAUACUAUUACCAGUUAUUUACUCAUACCAGUCAACACCCACCACCAACUUGUCUUGUUUCUGUUCAUAAGUUAAGAACACCCCCAGAAGCACAACAACAACAGUAACAGAGCCCAUUCAAAAUACAAGUUUAAGUAUGUUACAAGUUCUACUUACCCAUAUAGUACGCG
rnacentral:lncRNA from 1 species